GGGUGCUCUUGGAGGUGGCAGAGGAUCUGCUUUGCAUGCAGGAGGUGUGGGGUUCAAUCCCCACCGGCAGCG